CCUACGGGGGGCUGCAGUGGGGAAUAUUGGACAAUGGGGGGAACCCUGAUCCAGCCAUGCCGCGUGUGUGAAGAAGGCCCUCGGGUUGUAAAGCACUUUCAGUGAGGAAGAACGCCUGGUGGUUAAUACCCAUCAGGAAAGACAUCACUCACAGAAGAAGCACCGGCUAACUCCGUGCCAGCAGCCGCGGUAAUACGGAGGGUGCGAGCGUUAAUCGGAAUUACUGGGCGUAAAGCGCGCGUAGGUGGCUUGAUAAGCCGGUUGUGAAAACCCCGGGCUCAACCUGGGAACGGCAUCCGGAACUGUCAAGCUAGAGUGCAGGAGAGGAAGGUAGAAUUCCCGGUGUAGCGGUGAAAUGCGUAGAGAUCGGGAGGAAUACCAGUGGCGAAGGCGGCCUUCUGGACUGACACUGACACUGAGGUGCGAAAGCGUGGGUAGCAAACAGGAUUAGAUACCCCAGUAGUC
rnacentral:rRNA from 1 species